UACCCUCGGGAGGGGGAUAACCCCGGGAAACUGGGGCUAAUCCCCCAUAGGCCUGAGGUACUGGAAGGUCCUCAGGCCGAAAGGGGCUCUGCCCGCCCGAGGAUGGGCCGGCGGCCGAUUAGGUAGUUGGUGGGGUAACGGCCCACCAAGCCGAAGAUCGGUACGGGCCAUGAGAGUGGGAGCCCGGAGAUGGACACUGAGACACGGGUCCAGGCCCUACGGGGCGCAGCAGGCGCGAAACCUCCGCAAUGCUCGAAAGAGCGACGGGGGGACCCCCAGUGCCGUGGCAUCGCCACGGCUUUUCCGGAGUGUAAAGAGCUCCGGGAAUAAGGGCUGGGCAAGGCCGGUGGCAGCCGCCGCGGUAAUACCGGCGGCCCGAGUGGUGGCCGNUAUUAUUGGGCCUAAAGCGUCCGUAGCCGGGCCAGUAAGUCCCUGGCGAAAUCCCACGGCUCAACCGUGGGGCUUGCUGGGGAUACUGCUGGCCUUGGGACCGGGAGAGGCGGAGGGUACUCCUGGGGUAGGGGUGAAAUCCUAUAAUCCCAGGAGGACCGCCAGUGGCGAAGGCGCUCCGCUGGAACGGGUCCGACGGUGAGGGA
rnacentral:rRNA from 1 species